rnacentral:snRNA from 1 species
AUACUUACCUGGUAGGGUAGAUACCAUGAUCAUGAAGGUGGUUUUCCCAGGGCGAGGCUUAUCUAUUGCACUCUGGAUGUGCUGACCCCUGUGAUUUCCCUAAGUGUGAGAAAUGUGGCUGCAUAAUUUGUGGUGGUGGGGGGACUAUGUUUGUGCUUUCCCCUG